UGCCAGCAGCCGCGGUAACACGGGGGCGCAAGCGUUAUUCGGAAUUAUUGGGCGUAAAGGGCGCGCAGGCGGUCUUGUCCGUCAGGUGUGAAAGCUCGGGGCUCAACCCUGGAACUGCCUCCAAAACUACUAGUCUUGAGUUCGAGAGAGGUGAGUGGAAUUCCGAGUGUAGAGGUGAAAUUCGUAGAUAUCAGGAGGAACACCGAUGGCGAAGGCAGCUUUCUGGACAGAUACUGACGCUGAGGCGCGAAGGCGUGGGUAGCGAACGGGAUUAGAUA
rnacentral:rRNA from 1 species